rnacentral:rRNA from 1 species
GACGAACGCUGGCGGCGUGCUUAACACAUGCAAGUCGAACGGAAAGGCCCUGCUUGCAGGGUACUCGAGUGGCGAACGGGUGAGUAACACGUGGGUGAUCUGCCCUGCACUUCGGGAUAAGCCUGGGAAACUGGGUCUAAUACCGGAGAGGAGCCAUUUUUAGUGUGAUGGUUGGAAAGUUUUUUCGGUGUAGGAUGAGCUCGCGGCCUAUCAGCUUGUUGGUGGGGUAAUGGCCUACCAAGGCGGCGACGGGUAGCCGGCCUGAGAGGGUGGACGGCCACAUUGGGACUGAGAUACGGCCCAGACUCCUACGGGAGGCAGCAGUGGGGAAUAUUGCACAAUGGGCGCAAGCCUGAUGCAGCGACGCCGCGUGGGGGAUGACGGCCUUCGGGUUGUAAACUACUUUCGCUAGGGACGAAGCUUUUGUGACGGUACCUAGAUAAGAAGCACCGGCUAACUACGUG